CCCUUGGAUGUCGUACCGCCACAUCUGCGAGAUGUACAAGAAGACUGAUGCAUACGUCGGGACAACGGAAGAGACUCUGACACGAGGGGCAUGGAGAAACCUGUUUUUUUGUUGUUUUUUUGAGGUUGUUCAUCGUUAAAGUACCAGUCUAAGGAGCUUGGAAAGAUGAGCUUCUAGAACUUGUAUGUGAGGAGCAGGAGCUCCCUGAAGGAGAACCCCGGCCACGUCGUCAUUUUUUUGAGGUUGUCCGUCGUCAAUGUACCAGUCUAAGGAGCUUGGAAAGAUGAGCUUCUAGAACUUGUAUGUGAGGAGCAGGAGCUCCCUGAACGAGAACCCCGGCCACGUCGUCAUUUUUUUGAGGUUGUCCGUCUACAAUGUACCAGUCUAAGGAGCUUGGAAAGAUGAGCUUCUAGAACUUGUAUGUGAGGAGCAGGAGCUCCCUGAACGAGAACCCCGGCCACGUCGUCAUUUUUUUGAGGUUGUCCGUCGUCAAUGUACCAGUCUAAGGAGCUUGGAAAGAUGAGCUUCUAGAACUUGUAUGUGAGGAGCAGGAGCUCCCUGAAGGAGAACCCCGGCCACGUCGUCAUUUUUUUGAGGUUGUCCGUCGUCAAUGUACCAGUCUAAGGAGCUUGGAAAGAUGAGCUUCUAGAACUUGUAUGUGAGGAGCAGGAACUCCCUGAAGGAGAACCCCGGCCACUUCGUCAUCUUCCCCUUGGAUGUCGUACCGCCACAUCUGGCAGAUGUACAAGGAUCAGUCUGGACAGCGGAGGUGGUAGCAGGAGCUGCGGCGGUAUUUGUCCUGCAGGUGUCUUGAGCGGCUUGCCAGAUGC